AGCUCCAAUAGCGUAUAUUAAAGUUGUUGCAGUUAAAAAGCUCGUAGUUGGAUUUCGGGGCAGCCUGGCUGGUCCGCCGCAAGGCGAGUACUGGUCAGCCGCCCUUCCUCUCGAAAGCCCCGACUGCUCUUUAUUGUAGUGGUCGGGUAGUUCGGGACGUUUACUUUGAAAAAAUUAGAGUGUUCAAGGCAGGCCUACGCCUGAAUACAUUAGCAUGGAAUAAUGGAAGAGGACCUCGGUCCUAUUUUGUUGGUUUCCAGGGCCGAAGUAAUGAUUAAGAGGGACAGUUGGGGGCAUUCGUAUUUAAUUGUCAGAGGUGAAAUUCUCGGAUUUAUGAAAGACGAACAACUGCGAAAGCAUUUGCCAAGGAUGUUUUCA
rnacentral:rRNA from 1 species